ACAGUUUGAUCAUGUCUCAGAUUGAACGCUGGCGGCAGGCCUAACACAUGCAAGUCGAGCGGAUGAUGGGAGCUUGCUCCCGGAUUCAGCGGCGGACGGGUGAGUAAUGCCUAGGAAUCUGCCUGGUAGUGGGGGACAACGUUUCGAAAGGAACGCUAAUACCGCAUACGUCCUACGGGAGAAAGCAGGGGACCUUCGGGCCUUGCGCUAUCAGAUGAGCCUAGGUCGGAUUAGCUAGUUGGUGGGGUAAAGGCCUACCAAGGCGACGAUCCGUAACUGGUCUGAGAGGAUGAUCAGUCACACUGGAACUGAGACACGGUCCAGACUCCUACGGGAGGCAGCAGUGGGGAAUAUUGGACAAUGGGCGAAAGCCUGAUCCAGCCAUGCCGCGUGUGUGAAGAAGGUCUUCGGAUUGUAAAGCACUUUAAGUUGGGAGGAAGGGCAGUAAGUUAAUACCUUGCUGUUUUGACGUUACCAACAGAANUAGCACCGGCUAACUUCGUGCCAGCAGCCGCGGUAAUACGAAGGGUGCAAGCGUUUAUCCGAAUUACUGGGCGUAAAGCGCGCGUAGGUGGUUUGGUAAGAUGGAUGUGAAAUCCCGGG
rnacentral:rRNA from 1 species